rnacentral:tRNA from 1 species
GGGGAUGUAGCUCAGAUGGUAGAGCACUCGCUAGAGGCACCAGGAUCGAUACCCAGCAUCUCCA